rnacentral:rRNA from 1 species
CCUACGGGAGGCAGCAGUGGGGAAUAUUGCACAAUGGGCGCAAGCCUGAUGCAGCGACGCCGCGUGAGGGAUGACGGCCUUCGGGUUGUAAACCUCUUUCAGUAGGGAAGAAGCGAAAGUGACGGUACCUGCAGAAGAAGCGCCGGCUAACUACGUGCCAGCAGCCGCGGUAAUACGUAGGGCGCAAGCGUUAUCCGGAAUUAUUGGGCGUAAAGAGCUCGUAGGCGGUUUGUCGCGUCUGCCGUGAAAGUCCGGGGCUCAACUCCGGAUCUGCGGUGGGUACGGGCAGACUAGAGUGAUGUAGGGGAGACUGGAAUUCCUGGUGUAGCGGUGAAAUGCGCAGAUAUCAGGAGGAACACCGAUGGCGAAGGCAGGUCUCUGGGGCAUUAACUGACGCUGAGGAGCGAAAGCAUGGGGAGCGAACAGGAUUAGAUACCCUGGUAGUCCAUGCCGUAAACGUUGGGCACUAGGUGUGGGGGACAUUCCACGUUUUCCGCGCCGUAGCUAACGCAUUAAGUGCCCCGCCGNGGGNGACGCGCGAGACAACUAAUAGAGUGNGCGNGAGAGCGACGACGACGACGACGAGGAGAG